rnacentral:rRNA from 1 species
GAUGAACGCUAGCUACAGGCUUAACACAUGCAAGUCGAGGGGAAACGAUAUUGGAAGCUUGCUUCCGAUAGGCGUCGACCGGCGCACGGGUGAGUAACGCGUAUCCAACCUGCCCAUCACUUGGGAAUAACCUUGCGAAAGUAAGACUAAUACCCAAUGAUAUCUCUAGAAGACAUCUGAAGGAGAUUAAAGAUUUAUCGGUGAUGGAUGGGGAUGCGUCUGAUUAGCUUGUUGGCGGGGUAACGGCCCACCAAGGCGACGAUCAGUAGGGGUUCUGAGAGGAAGGUCCCCCACAUUGGAACUGAGACACGGUCCAAACUCCUACGGGAGGCAGCAGUGAGGAAUAUUGGUCAAUGGGCGAGAGCCUGAACCAGCCAAGUAGCGUGCAGGAUGACGGCCCUAUGGGUUGUAAACUGCUUUUAUAAGGGAAUAAAGUGAGCCUCGUGAGGCUUUUUGCAUGUACCUUAUGAAUAAGGACCGGCUAAUUCCGUGCCAGCCGCCGCCGUAAAAC